rnacentral:rRNA from 1 species
AUUGAACGCUGGCGGCAGGCCUAACACAUGCAAGUCGAGCGGAUGAGGGGAGCUUGCUUCCUGAUUCAGCGGCGGACGGGUGAGUAAUGCCUAGGAAUCUGCCUGGUAGUGGGGGACAACGUUUCGAAAGGAACGCUAAUACCGCAUACGUCCUACGGGAGAAAGUGGGGAUCUUCGGACCUCACGCUAUCAGAUGAGCCUAGGUCGGAUUAGCUAGUUGGUGAGGUAAAGGCUCACCAAGGCGACGAUCCGUAACUGGUCUGAGAGGAUGAUCAGUCACACUGGAACUGAGACACGGUCCAGACUCCUACGGGAGGCAGCAGUGGGGAAUAUUGGACAAUGGGCGAAAGCCUGAUCCAGCCAUGCCGCGUGUGUGAAGAAGGUCUUCGGAUUGUAAAGCACUUUAAGUUGGGAGGAAGGGCUGUAGGCUAAUAUCCUGCAGUUUUGACGUUACCGACAGAAUAAGCACCGGCUAACUUCGUGCCAGCCGCCGCCGUAA